rnacentral:rRNA from 1 species
AUUGAUCGCUGGCGGCUGGCCUAACACAUGCAAUUCGAACGAGUGGCGGACGGGUGAGUAAUGUCUGGGAAACUGCCCGAUGGAGGGGGAUAACUCCUGUAAACGGUAACUAAUAACGCAUACCAUCGGAUGGGCCCCGAUGGGACAAGCUGGGAGGUGGGGUAACGGCUAACAUAGGUGCCGCGCCCUAGCUGGUCUGAGAGGAUGACCAGCCACACGGGAACAGAGACACGGCCCAGACUCCUACGGGAGGCAGCAGUGGGGAAUAUUGCACAAUGGGCGAAAGCCUGAUGCAGCCAUGCCGCGUGUAGGAAGAAGGCCGUCGGGUUGUAAAGUACUUUCAGCGAGGAGGCGUUACUCGCAGAAGAAGCACCGGCUAACUCCGUGCCAGCAGCCGCGGUAAUAC